GCCUCGAUAGCUCAGUAGGCAGCGCGUGAGUCUCACAAUCUCAAGGUCGUGGAGUUCGAUCCUCACUCGGGGCA
rnacentral:tRNA from 1 species